rnacentral:rRNA from 1 species
UACGGAGGGUGCGAGCGUUGUCCGGAAUCACUGGGCGUAAAGGGCGCGUAGGUGGCGGAGCAAGUCAACGGUGAAAGCUCGACGCUCAACGUCGAGUCGGCCGUCGAGACUGCUUUGCUCGAGCACUGUAGAGGCAGAUGGAAUUCCGGGUGUAGCGGUGGAAUGCGUAGAGAUCCGGAAGAACACCGGUGGCGAAGGCGGUCUGCUGGGCAGUUGCUGACACUGAGGCGCGACAGCGUGGGGAGCAAACAGGAUUAGAUACCCUGGUAGUCCACGCCGUAAACGAUGGGCACUAGAUGCUUGGGGGAGCGACCCCCUGAGUGUCGUCGCUAACGCAUUAAGUGCCCCGCCUGGGGAGUACGGCCGCAAGGCUGAA